GAGCUGCACCAGGAACUCGUAGAGGAUCAGGAAGGAUUCUGAGAACAUUCUUCUGUGGUACUGCCUAGAGGGGGAAAAUAAAUUAUAAAAAAUAAAUCAAUUCUAAAUAAAGUAUGAUAUUUGUUAUUAGAAACUAUUUCUGGAAUCUGUGGGAACCCUGACAUAAGCCACCAUUCUCUGUGAACAAAUAUAUAAACCCUCCUUCCAUGGGGAAGUCAACGAAGUUGGAUCGGUUCUUUCAUGGAUAAUAUCCCCCAA
rnacentral:lncRNA from 1 species